GUAGGCGGUUGUAUAAGUCAGCGGUGAAAUUUUCCGGCUUAACCCGGGAGACUGCCGUUGAUACUGUAUAGCUUGAAUACGGUUGCUGUGAGUGGAAUGUGUGGUGUAGCGGUGAAAUGCAUAGAUAUCACACAGAAUAUCGAUUGCGAAGGCAGCUCACAAAGCCGUUAUUGACGCUGAUGCACGAAAGUGUGGGGAUCAAACAGGAUUAGAUACCCUGGUAGUCCACACUGUAAACGAUGAUAACUAGCUGUCGGCGAUACAUAGUCGGUGGCCAAGCGAAAGCGAUAAGUUAUCCACCUGGGGAGUACGACCGCAAGGUUGAAACUCAAAGGAAUUGACGGGGGCCCGCACAAGCGGAGGAACAUGUGGUUUAAUUCGAUGAUACGCGAGGAACCUUACCCGGGCUCGAACGGUGCAGUAAUAUGGUAGAGAUAUCAUAGCUAGCAAUAGACUGUAUCGAGGUGCUGCAUGGUUGUCGUCAGCUCGUGCCGUGAGGUGUCGGCUUAAGUGCCAUAACGAGCGCAACCCUUGUCGUUAGUUACCAUCAAGUAAAGUUGGGGACUCUAGCGAGACUGCCACCGUAAGGUGUGAGGAAGGGGGGGAUGACGUCAAAUCAGCACGGCCCUUACGUCCGGGGCGACACACGUGUUACAAUGGUAGGUACAGAGGGCCGCUAUCCAGUGAUGGAGUGCCAAUCUCAAAAACCUAUCUCAGUUCGGAUCGGAGUCUGCAACUCGACUCCGUGAAGUUGGAUUCGCUAGUAAUCGCGCAUCAGCCAUGGCGCGGUGAAUACGUUCCCGGGCCUUGUACACACCGCCCGUCAAGCCAUGGAAGCCGGGGGUGCCUGAAGUUCGUGACCGCAAGGAGCGACCUAGGGCAAAACUGGUAACUGGGGCU
rnacentral:rRNA from 1 species